CCCGCUGAACUUAAGCAUAUCAAUAAGCGGAGGAAAAGAAACCAACAGGGAUUGCCUCAGUAACGGCGAGUGAAGCGGCAACAGCUCAAAUUUGAAAUCUGGUUCCUUCCAGGAGCCCGAGUUGUAAUUUGUAGAGGAUGUCUUCGGGUCUGGCCCCGGCCUAAGUUCCUUGGAACAGGACGUCACAGAGGGUGAGAAUCCCGUAUGUGGCUGGAGGUCUAUUCCCAUGUGAGGCUCCUUCGACGAGUCGAGUUGUUUGGGAAUGCAGCUCAAAAUGGGUGGUAAGUUUCAUCUAAAGCUAAAUACUGGCGGGAGACCGAUAGCGCACAAGUAGAGUGAUCGAAAGAUGAAAAGCACUUUGGAAAGAGAGUUAAAAAGUACGUGAAAUUGUUGAAAGGGAAGCGCUUGCGACCAGACUUGCCCUCAGUUGAUCAACCGGGGAUAAACUCCGGUGCACUCUGCUGAGGUCAGGCCAGCAUCGGUUUAGGCGGUUGGAGAAAGGCCUUGGGAAUGUGGCUCCUUCCGGGGAGUGUUAUAGCCCAUGGUGCCAUGCGACCAGCCUGGACCGAGGACCGCGCCUUAGUGCUAGGAUGCUGGCGUAAUGGUCGUAAGCGACCCGUCUUGAAACACGG
rnacentral:rRNA from 1 species